rnacentral:rRNA from 1 species
GUGACCGUAAACGAUGCCAACCAGCGAUUCGGCGAUGUUCUUUUUGUGACUCGCUGAGCAGCUUCCGGGAAACCAAAGUGUUUCGGUUCCGGGGGAAGUAUGGUUGCAAAGCUGAAACUUAAAGGAAUUGACGGAAGGGCACCACCAGGAGUGGAGCAUGCGGCUUAAUUUGACUCAACACGGGAAAACUCACCCGUCCCGAACACUGCGAGGAUUGACAGAUCAAGAGCUCUUUCUUGAUUCAGUGGGUAGUGGUGCAUGGCCGUUCUUAGUUGGUGGAGCGAUUUGUCUGGCUAAUUCCGAUAACGAACGAGACUCUGGCCUACUAACUAGCGGCGGUAUUCACGUCUCCCGCGCGACGCCGCGCUGCGCUGCGGCUGAGCACAGUCGUCGCCGUUUGCGCGAGCGCUCCGCGGAGCACCUGCAGUGCCGGCAGCCGCUUCUUAGAGGGACCAGCGACACUUUCGCAAGCCGCACGAGAAAGAGCAAUAACAGGUCUGUGAUGCCCUUAGAUGUACGGGGCUGCACGCGUGCUACACUGACGGCGUCAGCGUGCGUUCAAGCCCGGCCUGGCAAGGCCAGGAAAUCGGUUGAAACGUUCUCGUGACUGGGACAGGGAAUUGCAAUUAUUUCCCUCGAACGAGGAAUUCCCAGUAAGCGCGAGUCAUCAGCUUGCGUUGACUA